GGGCCAUUAGCUCAGUUGGUAGAGCACCUGACUCUUAAUCAGGUUGUCCCCGGUUCGAUCCCGUGAUGGCCCACCA
rnacentral:tRNA from 1 species